GCAGGGACGCUGGACCAAGCCAGCCCUCCAUCAGCGCCCUCCCCGAGCCACCUGCUGGCGCGGGGGACAGCACGAGACCCUCUCACCUGGGCCUUCCUUGGGGAAACGGGCAAUGGGCCGAGCCCUAUGGCCACUGGGGUCCACUGGGUCCCCACUGGGGCCCGGAGGCCGGGCACCCUCCCCGGGCGGGCGAACCCCGCCGAUCCUCGAGCCUAACUCGGACUUAGUCGCUGACUGAGACAGGUAGGUCCCCGCCCGCCCCUCCAAACACCAGGACCCACUCGGGCUCGAGGCCGAGGCCCCGACAACCUCCACGGGCGGGUGGUCCCGGCCCCGGCCCCGGCCCCGGCCCCGGCCCCGGCCCCGGCCCCGGCCCCGGCCAGUCCGCGAGCUCGCGAGCUCACACUUGGGGAAUCACAACGAUCCAGAUCCAGACUUCCAACCACCGGGGGCAAAGCCCAACAGCCCUGCACGGCCCCUCGCGCUGCAGCCAGGACAAGGCGGGGACCCCGCAAGGAGUCCGGAGAAGAGCAAAGAGGAACACAGGCACCGGUGACCCGGCCGAGCUGGCCACACACUCCCUUCCACGAGCCGGCCCAGCCGGCUGCCUGCCGGGAUGGAGGGAACACAUCUCUUCCCUCCUUGCGUCUCGGUGGCCGGCCGGAGGGCCGCCGAGAAGCAGGAGGGUGUGCUGGUCGACCGGCUCGGGUCACCCACACACCCCCCGGCUAGCCGCGACCGGCCGCGGAAAGGCGGCAACAGUCACCUCUCACAUAGCCCUGCCGAUCCAAUCUCCGCACAGCGCGCCCGCCGGCUCAGCUCAGGCACGACCGCUGCAGUCUCGCCUAGCAGGCGGACCUCCUGGGACUCUGUCCCCGUCGCCAAGGCCACACGUCAGCCCUUUGCGCUCCAGCUGCUGACUACGAGCGCGACAUCAUAGCAAAGCCACCACCAGGUGGAGCCCCACAACGACCUCAAACACCAGCGAGAUCACCAGAGGAAACACAGAGAGUCCAAAACAAGCCACCUGAACAAGCUGCUGCAGCCCCAAGGAGGCAAAGGGCCAAGGGGCUCAGGCCAGCCCGGCAAACAAAUCGCUACAAAGUGGGGUUGAGGUUGACGUUGUACUUCUCGGAAGCGUAUAAAUAAAGACACAUGCUACAGUG